rnacentral:rRNA from 1 species
AGAGUUUGAUCCUGGCUCAGGAUAAACGCUGGCGGCGUGCCUAACGCAUGCAAGUCGCACGAGAACCCAGCUUCGGCUGGCGGACAGUGGCGGACGGGUGAGUAACACGUAGGGAUCUGCCCAGAAGUGGGGGACAACCUCGGGAAACCGGGGCUAAUACCGCAUAUGAUCUACGGAUCAAAGCCUUCGGGCGCUUUUGGAGGAACCUGCGGCGGAUUAGCUAGUUGGUGGGGUAACGGCCUACCAAGGCGACGAUCCGUAGCUGGUCUGAGAGGACGAUCAGCCACACUGGGACUGAGAUACGGCCCAGACUCCUACGGGAGGCAGCAGCGAGGAAUUUUGCACAAUGGGCGCAAGCCUGAUGCAGCAACGCCGCGUGGGGGAUGAAGGCCUUCGGGUCGUAAACCCCUUUUGUGAGGGAAGAAGAUCUGACGGUACCUCACGAAUAAGCCACGGCUAACUACGUGCCAGCAGCCGCGGUAAGACGUAGGUGGCGAGCGUUGUCCGGAUUUACUGGGCGUAAAGCGAGCGCAGGCGGAUUGAUCAGUCCGGGGUGAAAGUUCACGGCUCAACCGUGAAUGGUCCUCGGAUACUGUCAGUCUUGAGGGAUCUAGGGGAGAGUGGAAUUCCAGGUGUAGUGGUGGAAUGCGUAGAUAUCUGGAGGAACACCAGCGGCGAAGGCGACUCUCUGGGGAUUACCUGACGCUGAGGCUCGAAAGCGUGGGGAGCAAACCGGAUUAGAUACCCGGGUAGUCCACGCCGUAAACGAUGAUUGCUAGGUUUUCGGGGCAUCGACCCCUCGUGAGCCGAAGUUAACGCGUUAAGCAAUCCGCCUGAGUAGUACGGCCGCAAGGCUAAAACUCAAAGAAAUUGACGGGGGACCGCACAAGCAGCGGAGCGUGUGGUUUAAUUCGAUGGUAAGCGAAGAACCUUACCUGGGUUUGACAUGUAAGUAGUACUGAACCGAAAGGGG